UGUAAGCGUAUACCAAAGUUGUUGCAGUUAAAACGCUCGUAGUCGGAAUUUGGCAGUUCCGGAUGUGUGCACGUCGUGUGCGCACUUCGCGGGGAUUGCUUUUGUGGUCUUGCGUAGGAUGAGGCACUUUUAUUAGUGAACGUCCUCACGCAACCACUUUUUACUGUGAGAAAAUCAGAGUGCUCAAAGCAGGCAUUUGCCGUGAAUGUAUUAGCAUGGAAUAAUAGAAUAGGACUUGGUUCUAUUUUGUUGGUUUGUUGGGACUGAGUAAUGAUUAAGAGGGACAGUUGGGGGCGUUUGUAUUUCGGCGCUAGAGGUGAAAUUCUUAGAUUGCCGAAAGACAAACUGCUGCGAAAGCGUCUGCCAAGGAUGUUUUCAUUGA
rnacentral:rRNA from 1 species